UACAGAGGUCUCAAGCGUUGUUCGGAUUCAUUGGGCGUAAAGGGUGCGUAGGUGGCGAUGUAAGUCUGGUGUGAAAUCUCGGGGCUCAACCUCGAAAUUGCAUUGGAUACUGCGUUGCUUGAGGAUUGUAGAGGAGAGUGGAAUUCACGGUGUAGCAGUGAAAUGCGUAGAUAUCGUGAGGAAUACCAGUUGCGAAGGCGACUCUCUGGGCAACUCCUGACACUGAGGCACGAAGGCCAGGGGAGCAAACGGG
rnacentral:rRNA from 1 species